rnacentral:rRNA from 1 species
GAGUUUGAUUCUGGCUCAGGAUGAACGCUGGCGGCGUGCCUAACACAUGCAAGUCGAGCGCGGUUGUGCUUAGUAUUGAGUGUUUUAUUGAUAUAAAACAUUGAAUUCUAUGCACAACUGAGCGGCGGACGGGUGAGUAACGCGUGGGUAACCUGCCCUAUACACAUGGAUAACAUACUGAAAAGUUUACUAAUACAUGAUAAAAUAGUUUUUCGGCAUCGAAGAAUUAUCAAAGUGUUAGCGGUAUAGGAUGGACCCGCGUCUGAUUAGCUAGUUGGUGAGAUAACUGCCCACCAAGGCGACGAUCAGUAGCCGACCUGAGAGGGUGAUCGGCCACAUUGGAACUGAGACACGGUCCAAACUCCUACGGGAGGCAGCAGUGGGGAAUAUUGCACAAUGGGCGCAAGCCUGAUGCAGCAACGCCGCGUGAACGAUGAAGGUCUUCGGAUCGUAAAGUUCUGUGCAGGGGAAGAUAAUGAC